UGGGCGGUAGUGUAGUGGUUUCUGCACGCCAGUCCGAUAAGCUGGAAGCCUGAGUUCAAUCCUCAGCCGCCCAACCA
rnacentral:tRNA from 1 species